UACGUAGGGUGCAAGCGUUACUCGGAAUUACUGGGCGUAAAGCGUGCGCAGGCGGUUUUGCAAGACAGAUGUGAAAUCCCCGGGCUCAACCUGGGAACUGCAUUUGUGACUGCAAGGCUAGAAUCUGGCAGAGGGGGGUAGAAUUCCACGUGUAGCAGUGAAAUGCGUAGAUAUGUGGAGGAAUACCGAUGGCGAAGGCAGCCCCCUGGGCUAAGAUUGACGCUCAUGCACGAAAGCGUGGGGAGCAAACAGG
rnacentral:rRNA from 1 species